GUUUUACAUACCCAGUACGGACUCAUUUUCUAGAGAAUGUUCUAGAAACGACUGGGUACAGAUUAACUCAGUACAACCAAAUUGAUGAUUAUGGUCAAGAAAAGGCAUGGAAAAUGCAGAAACAGGCUCUCAGAAAGAGGAAGAGCCCAAUUGCUUCUGUUGUUGAGGAUGCCCUUGAAGCUGCUGAUUUUAGGGAAUAUAGCUUACAGACUCAGGAAUCUUUGCGCUGUUGGAAUCCUGAUUCUCUAGGUUUUAACCUCACAGAAAAUGUUCUUUGCCAUAUAUGUACAAAAGAAAGGCCUGGUGCUGUUUUGGUAUUUAUGACUGGUUGGGAUGGCAUAAAUGCUCUGAGAGAACAACUCCAAGCUCAUCCUCUUUUGGGAGACCCGAGCAGAGUUCUGUUGCUUGCAUGCCAUGGUUCAAUGGCCAGCUCAGAGCAGAUGCAGAGUCCCAACCCUUGAAGGAUUCUGCCAUGGAUAAUGGCUACCAGAAUGUCUUAUAAUACAAAUCAACAAAUGAAUCCUUGUUAUGAGGAUUAAGGGAGCAAUAAAAGCAGUAGUGGAAACUUUACUGGUUUUAAGUCGAACAAUGAAGAUUUGGAGAUGCUGUUAGAGGCUUACUUCAUGCAGAUAGAGGGGACCUUAAACAAACUGUUGACUGUAUGGGGCUCUUCUGUUUAUCCCAUUCUUGUCUAUAUGCUGUGUUUUCAUGGUUGUUUUCUAAACUGACAAGGUUAACCUAAAAAGGCACCAUAAACUCAAGUGUUAAACUCUAAAUUGCAUGACAAGUAAUGCUUCUUGAAAAAUUAGUGCUAGAAUUACCAAGUUUAUUUGAAAAAAAAAAUCAGGAUUAAACAUAUGGCCAUAUAAUGGAGCAUGGUUUGAUCUGCCUACAUCUGGAUAUAGGCUGGUAAAUUUUGUAGAUCUUGAGUUGGAUAGCUCAUCCUUCUGUGGUUCUCCAUUAGUUCAUUGGUCAGAACUGCUAAUGCCUGCAUGAGCCCAGUGUACUUUUUAGUUGUACAAUAAAUAAAGGCCACACAAGCCAGCACUGAGAUCUACAGGAGGAACUAUGCAAUGGCUCCA